rnacentral:rRNA from 1 species
AACGAACGCUGGCGGCAGGCCUAACACAUGCAAGUCGAGCGCCCUUUCGGGGGAGCGGCGUCCGGGUGAGUAACGCGUGGCAAUAUGCCCUUCUCUACGGAAUCUCCUCGUGAGACUGAGAGUACUACCGUAUACCCCCUGUAGUGGAAAGUUUUAUUGGGGAAGGAUUAGACCACGUGGGAUUGGGUGGUUGGCUGGGUAAUGGCAUCCGAAGCGGGCUAUCUAUAGAUGGUUAUAGAGGAUGAUCAGCCACACUGGGACGGAGACACCGCCCAGAAUCCUACGGGAUGCAGGAGUGGCGAAUCGUGGAACAUGGGGUCAACCAUGAUGUAGCCCUGCUGGGUGAGCGAUGAAGGCCUUAGGGUUGUAAAGCUCUUUCAGCUGGGAAGAUAAUGACGGUACCAGAAGAAGAAGCCCCGGCUAACUACGUG